CAGGCUUGAUAAGACUGGGUGUCAGCUUGGGCUGCAGUUUGUGAACCGUUGCACCUUUUGGAAGGACUCUGUCUAACUCCCUUGGAGAAAUCUAUGAAUGUUGAUACAACCUACACUCCCCUUGGAGGAGUUGAAGAAACAUUUUUGAAGGAUACUUUGAAGAACUCCACACACCAGGGAAGAUGUAAAGUUUAUCACGUUUGGGACAUAACAAUUUCACUUCUGAGGAAGCUCGUUAGGAAACAAGGACUUAUCGCAAAACCUUGUCAAGUGAUUCAUGUAUAUUCAGUGUUUUACUAUAAUGUGACUUUAGUGAUUCAUGUAUAAUAAGUGACUUAUAUUAAUGAAGUGAUUUAAGAAGUUUCAUUCAUUUGUA